UUAACUAUUAUAUAGUACUCAGACAUCACUAAACAAAAGAGUUUGGGUCCUCUGGCAGGCGCAGUCAGCCGGAGCCAACGCCUAAAAGGCGGCCUGCCAAAGCAACAAAGGAAUGUAUACACGGUUUGGGAAUAGAACCCAUUUCAAAAAACGGGGCGAUUCUUUAAUGAUCCUUCCGCAGGUUCACCUACGGAAA
rnacentral:misc_RNA from 1 species